rnacentral:rRNA from 1 species
UGAGUACGAGCUGCUACGGCAGCGAAGUGGGUGAUGUCAAGCUUCCAAGAAAAGCCCUAUACCCGUUAAGGCAUGAUGGCCUGUACCCGAAACCGACACAGGUGGGGUGGUAGAGAAUACCGAGGGGCGCGAGAUAACUCUCUCUAAGGAACUCGGCAAAAUGGCCCCGUAACUUCGGGAGAAGGGGUGCCACCGCAAGGUGGUCGCAGUGAAGAGGCCCAGGCGACUGUUUACCAAAAACACAGGUCUCCGCUAAGUCGCAAGACGAUGUAUGGGGGCUGACGCCUGCCCAGUGCCGGAAGGUUAAGGAAGCUGGUCAGCGCAAGCGAAGCUAGCGACUGAAGCCCCGGUGAACGGCGGCCGUAACAAUAACGGUCCUAAGGUAGCGAAAUUCCUUGUCGGGUAAGUUCCGACCCGCACGAAAGGCGUAACGAUCUGGGCGCUGUCUCGGAGAGAGGCUCGGCGAAAUAGAAUUGUCUGUGAAGAUGCGGACUACGUGCACCCGGACAGAAAGACCCUAUGAAGCUUUACUGUAGCUUGGUAUUGUGCUCGGGCUCGGAAUGCGCAGGAUAGGUGGGAGGCUAUGAACCAUUGCUUGUGGGUGAUGGUGAGCCACUGGUGAGAUACCACUCUUUCCGAGCUAGAGUUCUAACAGCCACCCGUUAUCCGGGGGCUGGACAGUAUCAGGUGGGCAGUUUGACUGGGGCGGUCGCCUCCUAGAAGGUAACGGAGGCGCGCAAAGGUUUGCUCAGGCUGGUUGGAAAUCAGCCGACGAGUGUAAAAGCAGAAGCAAGCUUGACUGUGAGACCUACAAGUCGAACAGGGAGGAAACUCGGCUUUAGUGAUCCGACGGUUCUGCGUGGAAGGGCCGUCGCUCAACGGAUAAAAGUUACUCUAGGAUAACAGGCUGAUCUCCCCCAAGAGUUCACAUCGACGGGGAGGUUUGGCACCUCGAUGUCGGCUCAUCGCAACCUGGGGCUGAAGUCGGUCCCAAGGGUUGGGCUGUUCGCCCAUUAAAGCGGUACGCGAGCUGGGUUCAGAACGUCGUGAGACAGUUCGGUCCAUAUCCGGUGCAUGCGCAGGAAUAUUGAGAGGAUUUCUCCCUAGUACGAGAGGACCGGGAGGAACGCACCUCUGGUGUACCAGUUAUCGUGCCAACGGUAAACGCUGGGUAGCCAUGUGCGGAGAGGAUAACCGCUGAAAGCAUCUAAGUGGGAAGCCCACCUCAAGAUGAGUAUUCCCAUGGGGUAACCCAGUAAGGUCACGGGAAGAACACCCGUUGAUAGGCUCUACGUGGAAGCGCAGUAAUGUGUGAAGCGGAGGAGUACUAAUAGACCGAGGGCUUGACC